ACAAAGGUAGCAUAAUCNUUAGUUUUUUAAUUGAAAACUUGUAUGAAUGGUUGAAUGAAAAAUUAACUUUUUUAAAAAAAUAAUUGAAUUUUACUUUUUAAUUAAAAGGUUAAAAUAAAUUUAAAAGACGAGAAGACCCUAUAGAGUUUUAUAAUUUUUAUUUAAUAUUUAAAAAGAUUAAUUAAAAUUUUAUAAAAGAAAAUAUUUUGUUGGGGUGAUAAUAAAAUUUAAAUAACUUUUAUUUUUUUUUUACAUUAAUAUAUGAAUUUAUGAUCCAUUAUUGAUGAUUAUAAAUUUAAAUUACCUUAGGGAUAACAGCGUAAUUUUUUUUUAAAGUUCAWAUUAAUAAAAAAUUUUGCG
rnacentral:rRNA from 1 species